CACCGGACUUUAUGCAAUAGCUAUUGGUGUUGGAGGUGUCAAGGGGUCGUUGCCUGCUCAUGGAGGCGACCAGCUUGGUACUAGAAACCAGAGGCUGAUCUCAGGAUUCUUCAAUUGGUAUUUCUUCUCUGUCUGCCUUGGAGGUUUCUUGGCCGUAACCCUUAUGGUUUGGAUCGAGGAGAACAAAGGAUGGAGCUCAAGCUUCAAUAUUUCUACCGCGGUUUUAGCCUCUGCGAUCUUCAUUUUCGUUGUGGGAUGCCCGAUGUAUCGAUUCAAGCGUCCAGCAGGAAGUCCUCUGACCAGAAUUGUGAAUGUGUUUGCUUCUGCCACAAGAAACCGAAAUAGGUUUGUAACGGAUGCAGAGGUGACACAGAAUCAUACCUCUACCGACAAAAGCAUUCAUCACAACAAGUUCAAGUAAUUACUCUAAACACAUCUUUUUCUUGUUUUGUUCUUUUUCUCCACGAGUAUCAGGAACGGCCUUGAGAAGUGGCACAACCAUAGUUUGGGGCCUUAUAAAUCGUUCCUUUAUAAUUAACAAAAGAAACAUAUAUUAACAUCAAAAAUAAAGGAUUUGUGGAUUUUGAUACACUUGUGUUU
rnacentral:lncRNA from 1 species